rnacentral:rRNA from 1 species
GAGAGUUAAAUAGUACGUGAAAUUGUUGAAAGGGAAACGAUUGAAGCCAGUCGUACCUAUGGGUAAUCAGCCUUUUGGGUGUGAUUUUGUGGAGCGUGAGGAGUUAAACGCCUUCAUGCCUGCAUAUUCGUGCACUUUGGGUGUACUUGCCCGUAUGGUUGGUUAACAUCAAUUUUGGUGGUCAUAAAAUGACUGGAGGAAUGUAGCUUCGAUCUCGUAUUGAAGUGUUAUAGCCUUCGGUAGAUGUGAUGAUCGAGAUUGAGGAUUGCAACGGAUACCCUUCGGGGCUACCUGUCUGAUCUCUGAUUGUUGCUUUGGUGCUGAAAGCUUGCUUAUGGUUAUCAAAGUCGAUGGUCAAUAGGUUAGAAUGGGUUAAAUUCGUUAAGGAUGUUGACGUAAUGGCUUUAAACGA